rnacentral:lncRNA from 1 species
GACUGUGCUGAAUUUUAAGAGACCUGAAUCUGGCUGAGGAUGAACAAGCAGCUGUAACCUUCAAACUUUCUUCUCGAGAAUUCUACCGAAGUUCAACACAGAAAAACCUAUGUUUAAGGUAGUCUGCAUUGAAGUGGUGGCUCUUGUUUCGAGAAUGCUUCAGACUGGCCCUGUGGACACAGUGGCCCAUGAAGUGGAACCCUCUGAAAUGCAGUACAGUUAUUGGAAGCAAAUAUGAGUAUGAGGAUCCAAUGGCACAGAAACACCUGAAGACAAAGUGCUUUGUGGAUAUAUAUCAGGUAAUACAGUACUUCCAAGAGGUGUUUGUGCUCCAGUUGAACUCCCUCUUUGGAAUGCUGCUCAGGCAGCUGGUGUAUCCUGCCACUGCAGCCAUGGUCAUCCAUCAAACUCAAGGAAAAGGCCUCUGA